AGGGAGUAUAUGCUGAAAGUUUUGAAGUGUCAGUUGAAAAUUUUUUUGCUAUAGGGAUGUUUCUCUCUCUAAAAUCAGGAAAACAGUAUUUGAGAAUUUUUUGUUUUUGUUUUUGGUUUUGGUUUUGGAUUUUUUUAUUGUUUUUUUAUUAUACUUUUUUCCUUUUGAUCUAAGAAAAUCUUUGAGAUAAAUUAGAGAAAGAUUAUUAAAAGUGAUAGGUUGAUAGAAGUUGAAGAUAGUUUCCUGUUGUAUCUGAGAGAAACCGAAAUAGACAAGGAGAAAGAAGAUUGAUCUUUUACUGAAGAAGCUUUAAGAUAAUCCAGAGAAGCGUGUUUUGUUGCAUUCGUGAAAGUUCUGACAUGUCCCCACAAGAACAAGUCUAAUGGAAAUAGAUCAGGUGACUGAGAUGGUUGGCAGAAGAAUGUCCUCCUCUACUGAACCACUGAACUGAUGAAUGGUCACCAAGAAAAUGUGGCAAACACAUUGCAGAAUGGCAGCAGCACCCUGCUUGCCAUGAAUUUGGAGGAAGUUUUUUUGAUUGAAUAAAAGAAGGUAUGUGAAAUCCUUUGCUAACCUUUAAGUGAUACAUAAU